rnacentral:rRNA from 1 species
CUAGCAUAUCAAUAAGCGGAGGAAAAGAAACCAACAGGGAUUGCCUUAGUAGCGGCGAGUGAAGCGGCAAGAGCUCAAAUUUGAAAUCUGGUACUUUCAGUAUCCGAGUUGUAAUUUGAAGAAAGUUAUCUUGGAGUUGGCCCUUGUCUAUGUUCCUUGGAACAGGACGUCACAGAGGGUGAGAAUCCCGUGCGAUGGGGUGCCCAUUCUAUGUAAGAUACUUUCGACGAGUCGAGUUGUUUGGGAAUGCAGCUCUAAGUGGGUGGUAAAUUCCAUCUAAAGCUAAAUAUUGGCGAGAGACCGAUAGCGAACAAGUACAGUGAUGGAAAGAUGAAAAGAACUUUGAAAAGAGAGUGAAAAAGUACGUGAAAUUGUUGAAAGGGAAGGGUAUUUGAUCAGACUGAUAUUCAGUUAACACUGUUCCUUGUGGAUGGUGCUCUAGCUUUUUAUUGGGCCAGCAUCAGUUUAGGUGGCAGGAUAAGAACUGUUGAACGUGGCUCUUCGGAGUGUUAUAGCUUCAGUUGAUACUGCCUAUCUAGACUGAGGUCUGCGGCUUUGCCUAGGAUGCUGGCGUAAUGGUCUAAUACCGCCCGUCUUGAAACAUGGACCAAGGAGUCUAACGUCUAUGCGAGUGUUUGGGUGUAAAACCCGUACGCGUAAUGAAAGUGAACGUAGGUGAGGGCCUUAGGGUGCAUCAUCGACCGAUCCUGAUGUUUUCGGAUGGAUUUGAGUAAGAGCAUAGCUGUUGGGACCCGAAAGAUGGUGAACUAUGCCUGAAUAGGGUGAAGCCAGAGGAAACUCUGGUGGAGGCUCGUAGCGGUUCUGACGUGCAAAUCGAUCGUCAAAUUUGGGUAUAGGGGCGAAAGACUAAUCGAACCAUCUAGUAGCUGGUUCCUGC